rnacentral:tRNA from 1 species
AGGUCAAUAGCUCAAUUGGUAGAGUAGCGGUCUCCAAAACCGUUGGUUGCAGGUUCGAGUCCUGCUUGGCCUGCCA